GCAACACGACGAGUGCUCAAGCCACUAAGUAAGACAAUCAUAAGAGAUACAUUUUAAAAACUGAGCUAAUUCACAAAUCAAUCGAUCAUUACUGAAAGGCUGAACAAAAUUCAAAUCAUCAUUACUUCUUAUUAGCAACAAAGGGAAUCUGAAAGAAGUUCAAAGAUGGAUUACGACAAUAAUCUGAAAUCUAACAGUGGACAAAAUGUCAAUAGUUUGACAUCUCUGCCUUAGAAGAUAAUAAUAUGUUGUGAUUUUAGAAAGUUGGAAUUGGAAGGAAUGAAAUUUAACAUGGAAGAGUUGAAGAUGGUCGAGUUUACAUGAAUCCUUUUGGAAAUAUGAGCUUGUAGCAGUUGAAAUAAAAGCCUCAAAUUUUAACGCAAGAACAACGUCUCCACCACCAAUUUGGAAUUUCAUCGAACAGCUUGAGUGCAUUGUAGCUAGUUGUGGUUUCGCUGAAAUUUCAUCAUGUUAAAGGACUGGAAGAGAAGAAUUAUAUGAUCUAACCGUGUAUUACUGGAAUAAAAGUGAUAUCAUGAGUCUCGCAAGACAAAAAAGUUUGAUGUUUUCUGAUGAGCUUCUCGCGGCAAAUUUAACUGGUUUCUCUUUCAAUUCCUUAAACAUGAUAUGGAAUUAGUUUACAUGAGUCAGAAUAUUUCUUUUCAAUUGUAUUUAACAUGAUGUGGA
rnacentral:lncRNA from 1 species